rnacentral:rRNA from 1 species
CGAAAGUCGGAGGUUCGAAGGCGAUCAGAUACCGCCCUAGUUCCGACCUUAAACCGUGCCGUCCGACCGCCCGCCAGGGUUACUACCGCGACUCGGCGGGCGGUCUCCCUCGCCCGGGAAACCCUUAAGUUUCCGGGUUCCGGGGGAAGUACGGUCGCAAAGCUGAAACUUAAAGGAAUUGACGGAAGGGCACCACCAGGAGUGGAGCCUGCGGCUUAAUUUGACUCAACACGGGGAACCUCACCCGGCCCGGACACCGUGAGGAUUGACAGACCGAGAGCUCUUUCUCGAUCCGGUGGGUGGUGGUGCAUGGCCGUUCUUAGUUGGUGGAGCGAUCUGUCUGGUUAAUUCCGAUAACGAACGAGACUCUAGCCGGUUAAGUAGCCCGCGCGGCGAUUCCGACCGCGAGGUCGGGAAAGCCUCCGUUCUCCCUCCCGCCCCGCUGCCGGUCCGGAAGGCGGCUUCGCGGCCGCCUUUCCGCGGCGAAAGGCGGCGUGGGAAGCGAGGAGACGCCGCCGGCUUACGAGUGAAAGAGCUUCUUAGAGGGACGAGCGGCGUUCAGCCGCGCGAGAUUGA